CUCCUUCAUGGGUGGGGUCAGGCAGAAACUGAGUAUGCUGUGCUUGGCUUCUUCUAGAUUUGUUCUCUUUUGCCCCCAAAAGGUGCAUUCUGGUGGGCCUGCGGUUGUUCAAUUUAGGGGCAAGGCAUUAGCAGCCACAGGGCC